UCCGUGUUUCCACGGCAGUCCCGCUAGAGUGCCGCCUUACGGCAGGCAACUAACGGCAAGGGUUGCGCUCGUUCAAGGACUUAACCCGACGUCUCACGACACGAGCUGACGACAGCCAUGCAGCACCUGUGUAACCGUUGGUAUUGCUACCAAACCCAAUAUUUCUAUCAGUAGCAGUUACAUGUCAAACCCAGGUAAGGUUCCUCGCGUAGUUUCGAAUUAAACCACAUGUUCCACCGCUUGUGCGGACCCCCGUCAAUUCCUUUGAGUUUUAAUCUUGCGACCGUAAUUCCCAGGCGGAUCACUUAACGCGUUAGCUACGACACAGAUCAUGCUAUGCACGACCCACAUCUAGUGAUCAUCGUUUACGGCGUGGACUAC
rnacentral:misc_RNA from 1 species